AAAACAAGAUAGAAUAAAAAAAAAGAAAAGAAGAAAAAAAAAAAAAAAAUCAAAUAUAUAUUUUGAUCGAAUAAAAUGUCUUACUUCGUUUU
rnacentral:ribozyme from 1 species